ACUCCUCCAGGAAAGCAUGCUAAGGAAUGGCCUCCUCAGCUACUAUCAUCAGGUGUGGCUCCAAGAAUCAGCAAUGCUUUCUUCUAAAGUAACUCCCGUGAUCGACUCUCUGCCAUCCUCACUGCGGUACACAGCACUGUCCCCCACCAACAUCAAGCCCUAUCUAUUCUUGGAAGAAGCAGGGGUACCAUAUUUUUCUUAUCCAUUCGUGAGUUGAUGGACAUCUUGGUUCAUUGUGUUUCCCACCCACUGUGAACUGAGCUGCGCUGCGCUGAGCAUGCAUAUAUGGUGAACUUAAGGAAAGCAGUGUUGAACCUACAAGGCAUUGAGAAACAGCCUCCUCAAGAAUCAUAUAAGAAAGCAAGCUUCUCAUAAUAAGGAGGAAAUGUUCAUUGAGAGUCAGAUAUCUGCUGGAUAUUAUGCUGAGAUUCAUUCUCAUGCUCAACUUGACACAACCUGGAGGGAGCCUCAGCUGAGGAACUGCCCAGAUCACACUGGCUUGUGGCCAUGUCUGUGAGAGACAGUCCUGACUGGCGCUUGAUGAUGGAUGGUCCAGCUCGCUGUGUGUGUCACUGUCUCCAGGAACCCAGCAUAAUAACUAUAAGUGCCAUUUACCGUCUAUCAUCUAUUUCAUGUGAUCAUUAUGGAAACUCUAAGCAUCUCACUGAUGUCAUCACCUUUAUCUGAAAUGGAAGGAAAUGGAUACACUGAGAGUUGGGAAAUAUCCCUGAGUUCCACAGCAGCUAAGAAUGAAGAGGACUGUCUUCUCCAAGCUCCAAACUCAUAACUGCUCUUCCAGCCAGCUCAACUGAUAU